UUCUGACUGGAUUUAUAUCAUAUGUAAAAAAGAAAAUUGGGCUAAUAGCCACUACAAUAAGGACUAGAGAAAGAAAAUAAAUCGGGCUUAAACUAGCCCAUCUUGACCAAAAUAAACAAAAUUUGAAAAUAAAGCUAAUCCUAUACCAGUCAAAUCUAGAUAGCUGGACACCAUUAAUUAUCGUCUUUUCAAACCCACCGUCCAGUCAUAACGAUAGCAGGUUACCAAUUUAAUGCUUUUGUCUCUGCUAUCCUUUAAUGAAAACCUUUCCCUUUCUUCAGUCCGGAGGAUUUGGCCAGAGAUUUCCUACCGUUCUCCGAACCACUUCUGGGACUUCCCUCUCCAGGUAAAAACUUUCUCUUCUUCUAAGAGCCUCAUUUGCUAUAGUAUGUGCAUAAAUAUUCUGUGCUUUAGGGACAAAAGUAAACUCAAUCUCCUGGAACCUGUUUUUUAGACUUUGGAUAUCUGUGAUAAUUGCUCCAAUGACUGAUUUAUCUGUGAAGAAGCUUUGGCAUUUCUUGAUAACAGUUUUGGAAUCUCCUAAAACUGUUAAUUUAUUGACUCCCAGUCUAAUCCCUAAUUUUAUUGCAUGUAACCCUGCAUAUGCCUCUGCUGUGAAUGGAUUUGCAAUGUUGGAGUGAAUGACUACAUGUGAUGCAGGAAUCUCUCUAUUCUCGUUCCGUACUAUUAUACCUGAAGCCGAUCUGAACUCCAGACGAUCGUAAGCUGCAUCAAAAUGAAUGAAGGUCCAUCCCCUUUUGUGUAUCUGUUGGAGAUUGUCAGAUGAAUGGAGAGUAAGAUUUCUUACUUUUGUUACUGCAAGUUCUGUAAUAUAGACUCUGAUUUUCCUCGCUAUUUCUGAUCCUGACAUGAGUCUUUUUUCAUAUGCGAGAUGAUUUCUGCUAAACCAAAUGAACCAAAGGCUACAACAGAAAAGUUGAAACUGCUUUUCAUUACCUCGAUCAAAAACCCAGGUAAGCCAUCCCCACAUGUUAUUUAUACUCUGAUUCAGCACCCACAAUAAAUUUAACUGAUUCCAAACUUCCAUUGAUCUAGGGCACUGAAUAAAAAUAUGCCAGCUAUUUUCUUCAGCACAACCACACUUGGGACAAAGAGUGUUCAUCACUACCCUCUUUAUUUUGAGGUUGACAAAGGAAGGGAUAAAUCUCAAGAAAUCCUCCAAAUUGUCAUCUGAAUCUUUGAAGGGAUAUGUAACUUCCAUAAUUUGUUGUAGAAAUUUUUUGUCUCGGUAUGUAAUAAUAAAUCAUUAGGAUCCAGAUUAGAACCAUGUAAUAGUUUAUAGGCACUCCUUACCGAGAACUCCCCUGUCGGUUCUCCUCUCCAUACUUGAAAAUCUUCUUGUUCUGUCUUCGCAAAAGGGAUUUGUAAUAUUUGCUCUGCAACAUCUGGUUGAAAGGUAUUUCUUAUCAGCUCUGUUUUCCAGCUCCUGCUAUUUGGCUCAAUUAAAUCCGAGACUAAUUUAACAUUUUCAUUGUUUUCUUGAAUAGUGAUUCUGUCAGCUUAGAUCCCCGGUAUCCAUGAAUCUCCCCGUAUGGGAAUUUGAUCACCUCUCCCCACCCUCCAACAGCGUCUAUUAUUAAAAAGUCCUCUCGCAGCCCAUAUAUUUUUCCAGGUAAAUGAAGGUAAAUUCCCCAACUGAGCUUUGUAGAAAUCUGAAUUGGGAAAAUAUUUUACUUUCAAAACACGGGAAAUAAUGAAUUCGGAUAAUUAAUAAGACGCCAUCCCUGCUUCGUUAAUAAUGCAACGUUAAAUUUAGCAAAAUCACGAAAAUCGAGACCACCAUAUUCUUUUAAUAGACAUAUAUCCUUCCAAGUGCACAAGUGGAUACCUUUUUUAUUAAAUCUCUUUUGCCACCAGAAGUUGGCUAUUAUUCUAUCCAAAUCAGUACAAAGCGUCUUAAGGAGUAGAAAACAAGCCAUCGAGUAUGUUGGAAUAGCUUGGAGAAUUGCCUUAAUAAACACUUCCUUUCUUCUUUGUGAGAGAUACCUAAUACUCCAACUGUCGAUUUUUUGCUUGAGUCUGUCCUUCAAAUUUUGAAAAGAUAAUCUCUUUCUUUUCCCCACCAUACUAGGAAGUCCUAGAUAUCGCUCAAAAUCAUUAGCUCUUCUGACUCCAAGGAUCUGUGAAACAGCACUCUUUUCACUCUCUUUUGUAUUUAGUACUGAAGAAAACUGUCAAUUUUUCAAAAUUCACACAUUGCCCAGAACUUGUCUCGUAUUCUUGCAGUAUCUGUUUUAAUGAAUGUGCUACCCUAUCCGUAGCUUCUGCAAAUAAAAUACAAUCAUCUGUAAAUAGUAAAUGGGAGAUAGCUAGCCCUAUUCGACUUGCUUUAACACCUUUAAAAACAUUAUCCUCUUUUGCUAACCUCAUUAGACUUGAGAGUCCUCCACAAAUAAGAAAUAAAAAUGGACUUAGAGGAUCCCCUUGCCUAAAACCUCUCGAUGGGAGAAACGUUUGACCAAUAUUUCUAUUAAAACUCAGAGUAUGAGACUGAAGAGACACAAUUCAGUACUAAAUCAACCCAUCCUGGGUCAAAACCCAUUUUUUCCAUUACUCUUUUAACAAACCCCUAUUCAACCCUAUCACAUGCCUUACUCAUGUCCAGUUUAACAGCCAUGAAUCCUUUUUUCCCCAAUCUCUUCAGUUUCAAAGUGUGUAGAAUUUCAUAAGCAAGUAACACAUUAUCACAUGCCUUCCUGGAACAAAAGCAAUCUUUACUAAAUCAAUACAUUUAUGAAUUAUCCCCCGUAGCCUAUUCGCAAUGACUUUAGCAAUCAAUUUGUAAAUCACAUUACAUAAACUAAUAGGUCUAAAAUGGGUAAUGCUUGAGGGAUUUUGGAUUUUUGGGAUGAGCACAAUAUUUGUUUUAUUAAUUGAAUGUAACCCAAUACCUUCGUUUAAUCUUUGGAGACAAAAAUUGGAGACGUCAUUUGUGAACCUUGCCUUCAGUUUAAUGUUAUCUUCCUCAGAAAUACACCUUCUAAUACCUGUCAAGAUAUUCUCAAAGUUAUUUUGCCCUCCUAUUGAAAACAAACGUAAAAAGUACGAUCUGGCAAUUUCCUCCAUAUCCUUCCAUUUAUCCGUCUCCCUGCCGUCUUCACCCUACAGCUUGUGGAUUCUAUUUUGCUUCCUUCGUUGCGAUGCUUGUUUAUGAAAAAAAGUUGUAUUUCUGUCUCCCAUUUUCAACCAAUUAAUUCUGGCCCUCUGUUCCCAAUAGCUUUCAUCCUUCUCAAUUUCUAAAUUCUGAUGGAUUUUUGUGUCAAUAAUCUCUGCCAAGUUCUCCUCACUUCUAUCCGCUUCAAGCAACAUUUCUAAUUUUGACAAUAAGGCCUCUUUUUUCAUCCUUUUAUUCUGUUGGAACCGGACACACCACAUUUGUAACCCUCGUUUUAAAUUUUCCAGCUUCUUCACAAUGUCUCCUGUUGAGCUUUCCUAAAUACUUUUAGUCUCAUCCAAGAAUGUCUCUUCUAAAAUCCACCAUGCUUCAAACCUGAACCUCUGAUCUGCUAUCUUUUUAACUCUGUGAUCCGUAUCAAUAAGAAGUGGACAAUGGUCUGAGAAUGAAUGUGGGAGGUGUUGAAUUAGAAAAUUUGGAAAUAAGUCACUCCAUCUUUCUGUUGCCACCCCUCUAUAUAAUCUUUCAUGGAUAUUAGUUUCUGGCAGAUUUCCCCUCUCCCACGUAAACCUCUUACCUGAAUAUCCCAAAUCCACUAAACAACAAUCAUCCAAAGCCUUCCGAAAUGCUUCCAUCCUUCUCUCUUCUCUAGGCAAACCACCUUUCUUCUCAAAACAUAUAAGAUUUCAUUAAAAUCCCCACAAACCAGCCAUGGGUCAUCUCCCUGGUUUCUUAAUUUUCGCAACAAGUUCCAUGAUUCCUCCCUAUCAUAUGAAUAAGGGGAACCAUAAAAACCUGUAAAUCUCCACUUUUCUCCAUCUCCUUCUUCCUCAAUGAUCACAUCAAUAUGUCUACUUGAAAAACUCUAUAGUGCAAUACUAGUAUUCCCUCUACAUGCUAAACAAAGUCCUCAUCUAGAUCCAAUCGAAUCCACAUCAAUUCCAAAGUGAAAUCCACAACUUCUUCGAAUUUUUUCCAUCUUUUUUUUUGUUUAUUUUUGUCUCCAUUAAGAAGAUCACUUGGGGAUAGUGUUUCUUCAGCGAAUGCUAAAGUCGAUGAACUGUCCGAGGAUUCCCCGAACCUCGGACAUUCCAACUUAAUAUUUUCAUUGCGAUUGGUCGUCUUACCUCUUGGCAGUUGCCGAUAAUAAAUGAUUGAAUCCCUGUACUUUCCUAUCUCUCCCUUUCAUCUCCCUACUAUCCUCAAUAUCCUUUCUCCCUCUCUUUUUUCCCUCUUCUCCUAUAAUCAUCGCAUUCUCCAACUCCUGUUCUAUAGCCAUUUGACUAUAAUCAUUUAAAGGUCUAACCAUUUCUAUUUGUGAGGAGAACCCAUUACCUUUCAGAUUAAAUCUUAAAAUAGGAUCAACACUUCCCCUAAAAUUUCCUACGCUUCCCCUUUCAUUAUUUCCUCCGCUCAUUCCUCCCCCUGAACCUCCUUCCUCCUUUAACCAUACACUUCUCAUUGCUUGGGCUCUCCUUGAUUGUGCACGCAAAGAUAAAUCCCAUCCCAUCAUAUCAACUUCAACCACUGCCAACAUUUUUGCUUCACAAAAGGAGUCAUUAUGUCCAAGACGGCCACAGUAGAAGCAAAAAAGAGUCAAUCUUUCGUACUUAAAUCUAACAUAAGAGCACUUGUUAUUAAACAUAACCUGCUUUUUCCUUUUGAGAGGGCGCCGAAUGUCAACUUGAACUCUUAUCCUCAUGAAAUUCAUAUUUUCUUUCCCCAAACUAGAUCCAUCGUAUUCUUGAAAAAAUUCCAAUAAAAUUCCCUAACUGCAUCACUAAUUUAUCAGAGUAAAACCCAAUGGGCACAUCAUGUAUUUGAACCCAAAACGGUGAUGAGAUUAAAGGAACUUUUAGUGGAUCUUCCCCCUUGCAACUUGUGUUAAAUUAGUAGAUGAUUAUUGAAUGUCCAAGCAGCCCAUUUAAUAACUCUUUCCAUAUCAAUAACAUGAAAAAACUUAAACAAGUACCUUUUUUCCCCAGAUCCCUAAUUUGAACACCCUUGACCGGAUGCCAUAGAUUAGCCAUGGUACUUUUCAUUGCUGGAUAAUGGAUGAUACUGGCUGUAAGAAAACAACGAACCAGACUAAGAGAUUCUUCAUUAAUAACUAAAUUUGAGUCACCUUGUGCUUGCAGGAUCUCUUCUUCUUCUUCAUCAAGAGAUAAACCCGCAAAUUCUGAUUCCAUGGAUGCUGUACUCGAAUCCUCCGUUAAAGAAAUCACUUCAAAUCAAUGGAGAUGAACGCCGCCAAAACAAGAAAACACAAGAAAAAAACUUGCCAAAGAAGCAUACAGAGACGUGCUAGGGUAGCAGACUAUUUUUUACAAAAGUUGACGUAAAUUUUUAAGUUUAUUUUUUAAAAAUAAAAAAAUGAAAAAGAUUUAUUUUUAUUUUUCUCAUAUUUUUUAAAGAUUAUUUAAAUUUAAUUUCAAAAGAGAAUAAAACUGACAUGCAAAUAGAUUAAAAGUUAAAAGAAAAGUUUAAAAGCAUUUAACUAGGUAUAGUCACCAGUGAUGGUGUUACAUUUUUUCAUCCAAUCUAAAAAAGAAAAUUAUUUCAUCAUGUCUUUAAACAUUUUACAUAAUUGCACUUCAAUCAGGUGCAGUUAAUGACAACAGCGGUAGGGGCAAGGUCAAAACAAUGUUUUAGGAGGGUCGCAUGAAAUUUUAAAUUUUUAUAGUUUAUAUAUUUAUAAUUUUUGAAGAAUUAAAUUAAUUUUUUAUAAUUUUAGGGGGGCUAAAGUAUAAUUUUACCUUUAUUAAUUUAAAAUUUUAAAAAGUUUUAAAUAACCUAAACAACAAAUUUCUAUUUUAGGGGGGUCGGAACUCCUGUCAGCCCCCAGAUUACCCUCUAAACGACAACAUCAAAAAAAUAUUCUUUUCCAGCCAAUGAUUGGCCCAUUAUGAAGC
rnacentral:lncRNA from 1 species